rnacentral:rRNA from 1 species
GUGCCAGCCGCCGCGGUAAAACCAGCACCUCAAGUGGUCAGGAUGAUUAUUGGGCCUAAAGCAUCCGUAGCCUGUUCUGUAAGUUUCCGGUUAAAUCCAUUAACUCAACUAAUGGGCUGCCGAAAAUACUGCAGAACUAGGGAGUGGGAGAGGUAGACGGUACUCGGUAGGAAGGGGUAAAAUCCUUUGAUCUAUUGAUGACCACCUGUGGCGAAGGCGGUCUACCAGAACACGUUCGACGGUGAGGGAUGAAAGCUGGGGGAGCAAACCGGAUUAGAUACCCGGGUAGUCCCAGCUGUAAACGAUGCAAACUCGGUGAUGCCCUGGCUUGUGGCCAGUGCAGUGCCGCAGGGAAGCCGUUAAGUUUGCCGCCUGGGAAGUACGUACGCAAGUAUGAAACUUAAAGGAAUUGGCGGGGGAGCACCACAAGGGGUGAAGCCUGCGGUUCAAUUGGAGUCAACGCCAGAAAUCUUACCCGAAGAGACAGCAGAAUGAAGGUCAAGCUGGAGACUUUACCAGACAAGCUGAGAAGUGGUGCAUGGCCGUCGCCAGCUCGUGCCGUGAGAUGUCCUGUUAAGUCAGGUAACGAGCGAGAUCCCUGCCUCUAGUUGCCACCAUUACUCUCCGGAGUAGUGGGGCGAAUUAGCGGGACCGCCGUAGUUAAUACGGAGGAAGGAAGGGGCCACGGCAGGUCAGUAUGCCCUGAAACUUUGGGGCCACACGCGGGCUGCAAUGGUAGCGACAGUGGGUUCCGAAUCCGAAAGGUGGAGGUAAUCCUCAAACGCUACCACAGUUAUGAUUGAGGGCUGCAACUCGCCCUCAUGAAUAUGGAAUCCCUAGUAACUGCGUGUCAUUAUCGCGCGGUGAAUACGUCCCUGCUCCUUGCACACACCGCCCGUC